CGAUGACGAGCUCACGCGUUGACCGAUCACGUUACUCAUCGAUCUGGAGAUCGACCUGUACAUGCAAAAAAUGGUACACCAACUUCAAGUCUACCUCGAUCAUUUCUCUCACGUGUUCCUCUUCCUCCUCUUCUUCUGCGUCGUUGCUGUCUUCAACCACUGUCGAAUUCAACAUGGAGGAUGUAUCGUUUACAUUACUUUCCAUUAUCGUGCUUAUUUCAUUUUCUUCUAUGAUCGUGUCGUUCUCCGGCACGUCUCUCCUGCGCCUUCCAAAGGAUGGCUCGCUCCUUCCGGUGCCACCAGAACAGUAAGCUGGCUGACAACCGUCUCGACAUGUUCGUACGGUUGCUUCAAACACCAAAAAAUUAGACUCGGGAAUUUUGAAAGCGUUGAAACGUGCUUCGAGGCUGUCACCAUCCCUCAAACGAUCCAAGCCAGGGAAUACGUAAUUGUCCACUGGACAGCUGUUUUCAACAGAUCACAUUGGUAUUGUAUAAAAAUUUAUUUUCUAGAAAUUUUUUGUUUCUAUAUUGUUUGAGAUAUUUAUCGAAGUACUGACAAGUAUAGAUAAUAAGUAAAUUAAUUAAGUUCCUCAAGUGGAUUAACUUUGACAUACGUAUAGCAGUGAUCAGCUACUCAACCCAUUCUCUACUACGAUUCUCACUUGGCGACCGUAAAAAGAUUUUUAUUUUUAUACUGGCGUUUAUAGUCCAUAAAAUUAUACUUUUGAAAAAUUUCAUUUCGGAAA